UCCGUAGGCGGACUAAUAAGUCAGGGGUGAAAUCCAACAGCUUAACUGUUGAACUGCCUUUGAUACUGUUAGUCUUGAAUUAUAUGGAAGUAGAUAGAAUGUGUAGUGUAGCGGUGAAAUGCUUAGAGAUUACACAGAAUACCGAUUGCGAAGGCAGUCUACUACGUAUAUAUUGACGCUAAUGGACGAGAGCGUGGGGAGCGAACAGGAUUAGAUACCCUGGUAGUCC
rnacentral:rRNA from 1 species